GAUGAACGCUAGCGGUAUGCUUAACACAUGCAAGUCGUACGGGAGUUUUUAACUCAAGUGGCGGACGGGUGAGUAACACGUGAGAAUUUACCUUUAGGAGGGGGAUAACAAUUGGAAACGAUUGCUAAUACCCCCAUAUGCUUUUUUAAGUGAAACGGAUUUAUUCGCCUAAAGAAAGCUCGCGGCUGAUUAGCUAGUUGGUAAGGUAAUGGCUUACCAAGGCGACGAUCAGUAUCUGGUUUGAGAGGAUGAUCAGACACACUGGAACUGAGACACGGUCCAGACUCCUACGGGAGGCAGCAGUGGGGAAUUUUCCGCAAUGGGCGAAAGCCUGACGGAGCAAUACCGCGUGAGGGAAGAAAGCCUACUGGGUUGUAAACCUCUUUUUUUCAGGGAGGAAAAAAAUGACGUGUACCUGAAGAAUAAGACAUCGGCUAACUCCGUGCCAGCAGCCGCGGUAAUG
rnacentral:rRNA from 1 species